GGUGGAGCAUGUGGUUUAAUUCGAUGCAACGCGAAGAACCUUACCUACUCUUGACAUCCAGAGAAGCCAGCGGAGACGCAGGUGUGCCUUCGGGAGCUCUGAGACAGGUGCUGCAUGGCUGUCGUCAGCUCGUGUUGUGAAAUGUUGGGUUAAGUCCCGCAACGAGCGCAACCCUUAUCCUUGUUUGCCAGCGAGUAAUGUCGGGAACUCCAGGGAGACUGCCGGUGAUAAACCGGAGGAAGGUGGGGACGACGUCAAGUCAUCAUGGCCCUUACGAGUAGGGCUACACACGUGCUACAAUGGCGCAUACAGAGGGCAGCAAGCUAGCGAUAGUGAGCGAAUCCCAAAAAGUGCGUCGUAGUCCGGAUUGGAGUCUGCAACUCGACUCCAUGAAGUCGGAAUCGCUAGUAAUCGUAGAUCAGAAUGCUACGGUGAAUACGUUCCCGGGCCUUGUACACACCGCCCGUCACACCAUGGGAGUGGGCUGCAAAAGAAGUGGGUAGUUUAACCUUUCGGGGAGGACGCUCACCACUUUGUGGUUCAUGACUGGGGUGAAGUCGUAACAAGGUAGCCCUAGGGGAACCUGGGGCUGGAUCACCUCCUUAU
rnacentral:rRNA from 1 species